GAUGAACGCUAGCGAUAGGCUUAACACAUGCAAGUCGAGGGGCAGCAUGGUCUUAGCUUGCUAAGGCUGAUGGCGACCGGCGCACGGGUGCGUAACGCGUAUGCAACUUGCCUCACAGAGGGGGAUAACCCGUCGAAAGACGGACUAAUACCGCGUACACUCUAUGUUGGGCAUCCAACGUAGAGGAAAUGAAAUUCGCUGUGAGAUAGGCAUGCGUCCCAUUAGCUAGUUGGUGAGGUAACGGCUCACCAAGGCGACGAUGGGUAGGGGAACUGAGAGGUUGAACCCCCACACUGGUACUGAGACACGGACCAGACUCCUACGGGCGGCAGCAGUGAGGAAUAUUGGUCAAUGGGCGAGAGCCUGAACCAGCCAAGUCGCGUGAAGGAUGACUGUCUUAUGGAUUGUAAACUUCUUUUAUACGGGAAUAACAAGAGUCACGUGUGGCUCCCUGCAUGUACCGUAUGAAUAAGCAUCGGCUAACUCCGUG
rnacentral:rRNA from 1 species